rnacentral:rRNA from 1 species
UACGAAGGGGGCGAGCGUUGUUCGGAAUUACUGGGCGUAAAGGGCGCGUAGGCGGCCGAUCAAGUCAGAUGUGAAAGUCCUGGGCUUAACCUGGGGACUGCAUUUGAUACUGAUUGGCUUGAAUGCAGGAGAGGAUAGCGGAAUUCCCAGUGUAGAGGUGAAAUUCGUAGAUAUUGGGAAGAACACCGGUGGCGAAGGCGGCUAUCUGGACUGUGAUUGACGCUGGAGGCGACGAAAGCCGUUGGGGAGCAAACAGG